UGCUAAGGCCGAGUGUUGCAAAGCUGACUUGCCAACACGGGGCGCCACUGCACACUUGGGCAGGGACCAGCCAGGGAUGGUUGGUAGCUGACAGCACCAAGAAGAAAGAGAAGAGGAGUUAAUUAAUUCACUGUCCACAGUGGACUCUUUACAGCACUUGG
rnacentral:lncRNA from 14 species